rnacentral:misc_RNA from 1 species
AAGUCGUAACAAGGUCUCCGUAGGUGAACCUGCGGAGGGAUCAUUAACGAGCGAAGGGCCCCCCUGGGGUCCGACCUCCCACCCUAAGAUGUUUCAACCCGUUGCCUCGGGGGCGACCCCACACCGGGGCCCCCGACGGUCACAAACGCCCUGUAUACCUACGUUCGAGUGAACAGCAAGCGAAACAAAACUUUCAACAACGGAUCUCUUGGUUCUG